UCAUAUGCCUUAGUUACUUAAAGAACUCCAUAACCCAAAAGUUACAGACAAAACAUUCAUAUCUGAUGCCACUAAAUCCAGCACCAGUUGCCAGGGCCAUGAAUUCUUGUUCACUCCUCUCCUUCCC